rnacentral:rRNA from 1 species
AGUAGCCUUCGAAAGGAAGAUUAAUACCGCAUAAGAUUGUAGUAUCGCAUGAUAUAGCAAUUAAAAGGAGCAAUUCGCUAUAAGAUGGACCCGCGUCGCAUUAGCUAGUUGGUGAGGUAAUGGCUCACCAAGGCGACGAUGCGUAGCCGACCUGAGAGGGUGAUCGGCCACAUUGGGACUGAGACACGGCCCAGACUCCUACGGGAGGCAGCAUG